rnacentral:rRNA from 1 species
GGCAAGUCUGGUGCCAGCAGCCGCGGUAAUUCCAGCUCCAAUAGCGUAUAUUAAAGUUGUUGCGGUUAAAAAGCUCGUAGUUGAAUCUGUGUGUCACGAUGUUGGUUCACCGCUCGCGGUGUUUAACUAGCAUGCAGUGAGACGUCCUACCGGUGGGCUUAGCUCUUAACGGGGCGGUCCAACUAAUAUCCCAUCGUGGUGCUCUUCAUUGAGUGUCGAGGUGGGCCGGUACGUUUACUUUGAACAAAUUAGAGUGCUUAAAGCAGGCUAUCCUCGCCUGAAUACUGUGUGCAUGGAAUAAUGGAAUAGGACCUCGGUUCUAUUUUGUUGGUUUUCGGAACUCCGAGGUAAUGAUUAAUAGGGACAGAUGGGGGCAUUCGUAUUGCGACGUUAGAGGUGAAAUUCUUGGAUCGUCGCAAGACGGACAGAAGCGAAAGCAUUUGCCAAAAAUGUUUUCAUUAAUCAAGAACGAAAGUUAGAGGUUCGAAGGCGAUCAGAUACCGCCCUAGUUCUAACCAUAAACGAUGCCAGCUAGCGAUCCGCCGAAGUUCCUCCGAUGACUCGGCGGGCAGCUUCCGGGAAACCAAAGCUUUUGGGUUCCGGGGGAAGUAUGGUUGCAAAGCUGAAACUUAAAGGAAUUGACGGAAGGGCACC